GAUGAACGCUGACAGAAUGCUUAACACAUGCAAGUCGAUCGGGAAGUGGUGCUUGCACCCUGGUAACCAUGGCGGACGGGUGAGUAACGCGUAAGGAACUUGCCUGCGGGACUGGGAUAACAGCAGGAAACUGCUGAUAAUACCGGAUAAGGUCAUUAAGCUGCAUAGCUUAGUGAUGAAAGGAGACGCCUGCGGAGAGCCUUGCGUCCUAUUAGCUAGUUGGAGGGGUAACGGCCCACCAAGGCGAAGAUAGGUAGCCGGCCUGAGAGGGUGGACGGCCACAAGGGGACUGAGAUACGGCCCUUACUCCUACGGGAGGCAGCAGUGGGGAAUAUUGGACAAUGGGGGCAACCCUGAUCCAGCAAUUCUGUGUGCACGAAGACGGUUUUCGGAUUGUAAAGUGCUUUCAGCAGGGAAGAAGGAAGUGACGGUACCUGCAGAAGAAGCGACGGCUAAAUACGG
rnacentral:rRNA from 1 species